UGGAGAGUUUGAUCCUGGCUCAGGACGAACGCUGGCGGCGUGCUUAACACAUGCAAGUCGAACGGAAAGGCCCUUCGGGGUACUCGAGUGGCGAACGGGUGAGUAACACGUGGGUGAUCUGCCCUGCACUUUGGGAUAAGCCUGGGAAACUGGGUCUAAUACCGAAUAUGACCACGCGCUUCAUGGUGUGUGGUGGAAAGCUUUUGCGGUGUGGGAUGGGCCCGCGGCCUAUCAGCUUGUUGGUGGGGUAAUGGCCUACCAAGGCGACGACGGGUAGCCGGCCUGAGAGGGUGACCGGCCACACUGGGACUGAGAUACGGCCCAGACUCCUACGGGAGGCANCAGUGGGGAAUAUUGCACAAUGGGCGCAAGCCUGAUGCAGCGACNCCGCGUGAGGGAUGACGGCCUUCGGGUUGUAAACCUCUUUCAAUAGGGACGAAGCGCAAGUGACGGUACCUAUACAAGAAGGACCGGUCAACUACGUGCCAGCAGCCGCGGUA
rnacentral:rRNA from 1 species